rnacentral:rRNA from 2 species
UUCGCAAUGCCCGAAAGGGUGACGAAGCGACGCCGCGUGGGUGAGGAAGGCCUUCGGGUUGUAAAGCCCUGUCAGGAGUUAAGAAAUGCAGGUGCGCUAAUAUCGUACCUGUUUGACAAAGGCUCCAAAGGAAGCCACGACUAACUCUGUGCCAGCAGCCGCGGUAAUACAGAGGUGGCAAGCGUUGUUCGGAAUUAUUGGGCGUAAAGAGCACGUAGGUGGAUUUGUAAGCCAGAUGUGAAAGCCUUCUGUUCAACGGGAGAAUUGCAUCUGAAACUACAAACCUUGAGUAUAGGAGGGGAGAAUGGAACUUCUGGUGGAGCGGUGAAAUGCGUAGAUAUCAGAAGGAACGCCGGCGGCGAAAGCGAUUCUCUGGCCUAUUACUGACACUCAGUGUGCGAAAGCUAGGGGAGCAAACGGGAUUAGAUACCCCGGUAGUCCUAGCCGUAAACGAUGGGCACUAAGUAGAGGGGUUUU